rnacentral:rRNA from 1 species
CCAAUAGCGUAUAUUAAAGUUGUUGCAGUUAAAAAGCUCGUAGUUGAAUUUCGGGAUCAAUAUGUCGGUCGUGCCUUCGGUACGUACUGGUAUCAUUGGUCUCUCCUUUCUGACGAACCAUGAUGUCAUUAAUUUGGUGUUAUGGGGAGUUAGGACUGUUACUUUGAAAAAAAUUAGAGUGUUUAAAGCAGGCUUUAGCUUGAAUACAUUAGCAGGGAAUAAUGAAAUAGGACGUUCGAACCUAUUUUGUUGGUUUCUAGGAUCAACGUAAUGAUUAAUAGGGAUAGUUGGGGGCAUUAGUAUUCAAUUGUCAGAGGUGAAAUUCUUGGAUUUAUUGAAGACUAACUACUGCGAAAGCAUUUGCCAAGGAUGUUUUCAUUAAUCAAGAACGAAAGUUAGGGGAUCGAAGACGAUCAGAUACCGUCGUAGUCUUAACCAUAAACUAUGCCGACUAGGGAUCGGAUGAUGUUAAUUUUUUAAUGACUCAUUCGGCGCCUUACG